ACUCGCUCGCUCAAGGAAACAUCCCCACGCAGCCACAUGCCUACCAGGGCCCAUGCGCCAACUCUCCCUUCCAACCAUUCUUAUCUCCUCUACCUUAUCUACUCGUGGACUCAUUUUCCCCCAAUCCCUCGCUGCAAUCUCACUAGCGAGCCACAUAGCUGCCUCGCGCCCCUCCACCGCAUCACUCCUAGCUGCCCACUACUCAUCUCUCUCGUCACCAAUGAUGGUCACCCACAGCUCGUGUAGAUCCCCCUGCUAACAACCCCGUACACACAAGCGUUGCGACUCAUGGUGCACAAGGCGGCCGGCAUGAAAGAUGUGAUGGUGAUGCAUAUGGGCAGCGAUGGGGGAACACACGGCGGGGAUGGCGGUGCUACAACCCACACCUAAUGGAGUUGCAACCAUUGGAGGGUGGUGUUGGAACCAUGGGGGAGCACCGGUGCCAUGUCUUGCCACUGCCGACUGGGCAGAUUGCUGCAAUUUUUGUCGACGGAGCUGCAACCGGUGUAUUGCAAAGCAUCAAAAAUUGAUACCAUGGCGGCAGCGAGUAAGGCGGCCGAGGGUGAGCACGAACAGUGCAGGUGGCCUACGAGCAUGGGGCGGCCAAGGACAAGUGCGAGGCGGCCAGCUAGCACGAGGAUCCUCUGUUUUUUUCUCGCGCGCAUGUGCGGGCAAGAAAGAAAGGAGGAAGACGAAAUUGAGGGUUGCAUAGGACGGUUUGGAGGGGGGAAAUCAGACAGCUGCACGACGGCCGGCCGACCAAUACCUAUUAUUGCCCUUUUAGCUUAAGGAAAAAUUGGCCCCCUCUUAGUUGUCCGUCACGCUCUGUCAUCGGCAAUGGGGACGCUUUUACGGCCAGUUUUUUUGAUGACUUCUAGAAUAAACUGGAAUAAGUUGCCCCUACCCAGCUCAUUAAGCUUAAAAAAAAGUUGAUUGGGCUCCUAGAAUAAGCUAACUAGGUAGGGGAGCUUAUUUUAGAAGACAAAAAAAAAGGCAUCAAAAAGAACUGGCCGGCGAGCGCCUCAAAGGCAGCUUGGGAUGCAUCUCCGGAAGGAAUGUCAACCUCACCCGCACAACGAGCAGGGUGCCCCGACGGCAUCACCAAAUCAAGAUCCACCCCGGGCGCCAGGGCCGGCGGGGAGGCAAGGAAGGCGGGCUGGGACUGGCUCAACAGGCUGAACAACGACGCCAUUGCGGCGGCAGCAGGGGGCUGGUUGGCUACCGGGUCGCGAGAGAGGGACAUGUUCUGCCUCUGCAUCAGAAUGUGGCUUCGACUAAGUGGCACGAACUCACUCUGCUUUCUAAUGAGUUGUCACACUUUUGUUUGACCACCGUACUCUCCGUCAAUAUACAUGUUCGAUAAAA